rnacentral:tRNA from 1 species
AGGAAAGAGAGGGAUUCCAACCCUCGGUA